CUAGUACUCCCUCCGAUCCAUAUUAAUUGUUAAAAUAUUACAUGUAUCUAGACACUUUUUAAACAUAGAUACAUCCAUAUUUGGACAAAUUUGAGACAAUUAAUAUGGAUCGGAGGGAGUAACUA
rnacentral:pre_miRNA from 1 species